AUUGAACGCUGGCGGCAUGCCUUACACAUGCAAGUCGAACGGUAACAGGUCUUCGGAUGCUGACGAGUGGCGAACGGGUGAGUAAUACAUCGGAACGUGCCUAGUAGUGGGGGAUAACUACUCGAAAGAGUGGCUAAUACCGUAUGAGAUCUACGGAUGAAAGCAGGGGAUCGCAAGACCUUGUGCUACUAGAGCGGCCGAUGGCAGAUUAGGUAGUUGGUGGGAUAAAAGCUUACCAAGCCGACGAUCUGUAGCUGGUCUGAGAGGACGAUCAGCCACCCUGGGACGGAGACACGGCCCAGACUCCUACGGGCGGCAGCAGUGGGGAACGUUGGACAAUGGGCGAAAGCCUGAUCCAGCAAUGCCGCGUGCAGGAUGAAGGCCUUCGGGUUGUAAACUGCUUUUGUACGGAACGAAAAGCCCCGGGUUAAUACCCUGGGGUCAUGACGGUACCGUAAGAAUAAGCACCGGCUAACUACGUGCCAGCCGCCGCCGUAACAC
rnacentral:rRNA from 1 species